AUUGAACGCUGGCGGCAGGCUUCACACAUGCAAGUCGAACGAGAGGAGGAAGGGUGAGUAAUGCUUGGGAAUCUAGCUUAUGGAGGGGGAUAACAACGGGAAACUGUAGCUAAUACCGCGUACCAUAGGAGGAGCCCAAGUGGGAUUAGGUAGUUGGUGAGGUAAAGGGUAACCAAGCCGACGAUCUCUAGAUGGUCUGAGAGGAUGACCAGCCACACUGGGACGUAGACACGGCCCAUACUCCUACGGAAGGCAGCAUUGGGGAAUAUUGCGCAAUGGGGGCAACCUGACGCAGCCAUGCCGCGUGAAUGAAUAAGGCCUUCGGGUUGUAAAUUUCUUUCGGUAGCGAGGCGUUAACUACAGAAGAAGCACCGGCUAACUCCGUGCCAGCAGCCGCGGUAAUAC
rnacentral:rRNA from 1 species